GGCCACGGAGAGUAUUUGUUCACUAGAUAUUUCUGAGCUGUUCGACCAGAAUCGUUGAUAAAUUAAGGACAUCAUCACUCAAGUGACCUCUUGGCUGUUGUUUAAAUUUUAAUCUUUUUCUAAGAAACAUGGGCAGUAAGAAUUUUCCCAGAGCCGCAACAAAGAAAUCGUGAUGCACCUUGUUUAUACAAUCAGAUAGUAUAAUCAGAAAGUUUUCAAACAGUCACGACACAAGUGCUAUAUAAGACAGAUAAGUUUGCUUGUUUUCCAUCACUAUUGUUCAGCGAUAGAGAUUCCCACCUUCAGCUACUAUAGCGCCGGACGUUCCUCGAAGUUGCUGUAUACCCACGUGCGACAAUUUACAAUGAAACGCCAAUACCUUUUCCUGCUGGUGUGCCUGGUGAUUUUUACAAUGGAUGCUGUCUGUGCAUUGCCUGUGUCGGAUGAUGUUAGUCGUGUUAAACGUUUCACCUGCGACUUUAUAGCGUACUUUGGAAGUGGAGCUGCUACUGUUGCUUGUGCGCUCCACUGCAAGGGUCAUGGCAAAAGGACUGGCUAUUGUGAAAGGAGUACUUGCAUUUGCACUAAUUAAAUCUGAAGAAGAUAUCCAUUCGAAGAGAAUGCAGCUCUGCGGCAAAAUAACGGAUUAUAUCGCGUGUAUUUGAAAUUGAAUGAAUAAAAUGU